rnacentral:rRNA from 1 species
ACGGAGGGUGCAAGCGUUAUCCGGAUUCACUGGGUUUAAAGGGUGCGUAGGUGGAGUGGUAAGUCAGUGGUGAAAUCUCCAAGCUUAACUUGGAAACUGCCGUUGAUACUAUCAUUCUUGAAUAUCGUGGAGGUAAGCGGAAUAUGUCAUGUAGCGGUGAAAUGCUUAGAUAUGACAUAGAACCCCGAUUGCGAAGGCAGCUUGCUACACGAUCAUUGACACUGAGGCACGAAAGCGUGGGGAUCAAACAGGA